rnacentral:lncRNA from 1 species
UUUCACACCCCCCCCUGAAGGGAGUCAUCGGUGAGCAAAAACAUCAACCCUUGUUCUGAAGCUGUUUAAAAAAAUUCACCCCAGGUGUGACGAAACAAAUGACAAUUUCCUGGGUAGCUUUUCACCUUUCCUAUUUGAUCAGCUGCACAGCACACUGUUUUCUGCUAAAUGCCUUGGACUCACGGAAACCUGGAGACCUCAUAAGAUGUCACAUAUACCAGCAAGAGUAACAGUAUUGUUUCAAAUUUUGGGCUCUUCCCCUGGACAGAUUCAAGCUGGCACUCCAACAGGAAGAAAGCUCUCCAAGGUUCAUACCUACAUCCUGAUGAUGCUGGUGGCUUUUCCUUCAUGUUCAAAAUCUGGACUUUGGCUGGCCCCCAGCUGAUAAAUUUGCUCCCAGCUGAUAAACUUAGUCCCCAGAGAAAAAGGAGAAAUUUUGGAGAAGAAUGAUUGAUCAUUUCCUGAGAGAUAUGACCCAUAUAAAUGAAUUAAAGAUGCAGUUCUGCUAUCCCUCUCUGUUUCCUUCAGCAGACAUUACACCAGGAAAACUCCUGGGAGACUUAAUCGAAUCAUCUUGCUUGUGUGCACUAGAUCUUGCUGCCUAGGAGAUGUACAACUGGCAUAUCUAAUAGGCACAGUGUUCCCAAAGUGUUUAAAAAUAGGAACCCCGUGACACACAAAGGUAGAAAUUUUAAUUAGCAUAAUUAACAAACAUUUUCAUAUCAAAUUUACUUAUAAAGAAUAGUUAAGAGUAUCGUGAGUCCCUCAUCAUCCUUGACUAUGGAAGUAAACAUGGGUCAGAGGAGAGGAAACAUUGCAAAACCCUUUUGAAAAUAUGAUGUGAUUUUGAGACCAUCUUAUCAAAAUUAAUAAAAAAUAAAGCUUUUUCCA